CUCUCCCCUUCCGCCAUGUGUCCCGUCGGUUACCGCCACGUGUCUCAUUGGUUUCCACCACUAUCCCAUUUUCUUCUUUUUCGGUUACUUGCUUUGACUUCAAAUUUUAAAUUCUCCCUCCAAUCUCAUGUUGUAUUGUCCAAUAACCAUCUUGGAACCAGUUUUUCAUUAACAUUGCCAGAUUUCAUAUUCAGCCUGUACUACAAUGAUAUGCAAAUUGAAUGUACUCUUAGCUUUUGUGCAUUCUCAACCAACUCGACCAAUUUCUUAUAGCUUACAUCGGUUCUUUCAUUCAACCUAUACUCUUAACUAACAUCCCUUGGUGGCCAAUACACAAUCACUAAGGUUUUUCAACAUGUCCUUGCUGGCAAAGCUCAUCCUUAACUAGGGUUGUCUCGACUUUCAACCCCCCUUUUCCUGGCUGGAACUAAUCGACCUACUUUUAAUAAUGUCUCAUGACAGUUGUUUUGAGAAC
rnacentral:lncRNA from 1 species